AACGAACGCUGGCGGCAGGCUUAACACAUGCAAGUCGAACGCACCUUUCGGGGUUAGUGGCAGACGGGUGAGUAACGCGUGGGAAUCUACCCUUCUCUACGGGAUAGCUCCGGGAAACUGGAAUUAAUACCGUAUACGUCCUGAGGGAGAAAGAUUUAUCGGGGAAGGAUGAGCCCGCGUUGGCUUAGCUAGUUGGUGGGGUAAAGGCCUACCAAGGCGACGAUCCAUAGCUGGUGUGAGAGGAUGAUCAGCCAGAUUGGGACUGAGACACGGCCCAAACUCCUACGGGAGGCAGCAGUGGAGAGUAUUGGACGAUGGGCGCAAGCCUGAUCCAGCCAUGCCGCGUAAGUGAUGAAGGCCCUAGGGUUGUAAAGCUCUUUCAGUGGGGACGAUAAUGACGGUACCCACAGAAGAAGCCCCGGCUAACUUCGUG
rnacentral:rRNA from 1 species